UGAAUACGAGACGCUAAGGCGUCGAAGUAGUGUAUGUCAUACUUCCAAGAAAAGCUUGCACUGUCAUAGAUAAAAAACGCCUGUACCAUAACCGACACAGGUGGGUAGGUAGAGUAUACUAAGGGGCGCGAGAUAACUCUCUCUAAGGAACUCGGCAAAAUAACUCCGUAACUUCGGGAGAAGGAGUGCCUUAUUCGUAAGGUUGCAAUAACAAGAUCCAAGCAACUGUUUAUCAAAAACACAGGUCUCCGCUAAGUCGUAAGACGAUGUAUGGGGGCUGACGCCUGCCCAGUGCCAGAAGGUUAAAGAAGUUGGUUAGCAAUUGCGAAGCUGAUAACUGAAGCCCUGGUGAACGGCGGCCGUAACAAUAACGGUCCUAAGGUAGCGAAAUUCCUUGUCGGGUAAGUUCCGACCCGCACGAAAGGCGUAAUGAUUUGGAUACUGUCUCGGAGAGGGGCUCGGUGAAAUAGACUUGUCUGUGAAGAUGCGGACUACCUGCACCAGGACAGAAAGACCCUAUGAAGCUUUACUGUAACUUGAAAUUGAAAUUGGACUUUAUUCGCGCAGUAUAGGUGGGAGGCGUUGAUUAUAAUCUUGUGGGAUUAUUGGAGCCAUCAGUGAGAUACCACUCUUGUAAUGUUAGAUUUCUAACUUUGAAUCAUUAUCUGGUCAAAGAACAGUUUCAGGCGGGCAGUUUGACUGGGGCGGUCGCCUCCUAAACGGUAACGGAGGCGUACAAAGGUUUCCUCUGAACGGUUAGAAAUCGUAUCUAGAGUGUAAAGGCAUAAGGAAGCUUGACUGUGAGACCUACAAGUCGAGCAGGGACGAAAGUCGGUCUUAGUGAUCUGACGGUACUGAGUGGAAAGGCCGUCACUCAACGGAUAAAAGUUACUCUAAGGAUAACAGGCUGAUCUCCCCCAAGAGUUCACAUCGACGGGGAGGUUUGGCACCUCGAUGUCGGCUCAUCGCAUCCUGGGGCGGUAGUACGUCCCAAGGGUUGGGCUGUUCGCCCAUGAAAGCGGUACGCGAGCUGGGUUCAGAACGUCGUGAGACAGUUCGGUCCAUAUCCGGUGUAGGCGUUAUAAUAUUGAGAGGAGCCUUCUUUAGUACGAGAGGACCGAGAAGGACAUACCUCUGGUGUACCAGUUAUCGUGCCAACGGUAAACGCUGGGUAGCUAUGUAUGGAGUGGAUAACCGCUGAAAGCAUCUAAGUGGGAAGCCCACCUCAAGAUAAGUAUUC
rnacentral:rRNA from 1 species